CACCAUUCAAACCUUGGCUUUUGUUUAAGUCGGUUUGGUUUUGGAAGUAGACUUGAACAUUGAUUUUCUAGUCUCUUUUGUAAUGUAUUGACGAAAUUGCCUUUACUAGCCUCUUAGUUGUAGUAAAAGAAUCUCAUUCUCUCUCUCAACUUCAAGAUGGUUUGGUUUUUGGGCGGCCUGCUUUUUUGAGCAUGUAUAUGCUCUCUCAA
rnacentral:misc_RNA from 1 species